rnacentral:rRNA from 1 species
UACGUAGGACCCAAGCGUUAUCCGGAAUUACUGGGCGUAAAGAGUUGCGUAGGCGGCUUGUUAAGUUGGUAGUGAAAUCGUGCGGCUCAACCGCAUAAACAUUACCAAAACUGGCAAGCUAGAGUGUGAGAGAGGUUACUGGAAUUCCAAGUGUAGGAGUGAAAUCCGUAGAUAUUUGGAGGAACACCGAUGGCGUAGGCAGGUAACUGGCUCACUACUGACGCUCAGGCACGAAAGCGUGGGGAGCGAACAGG